UACGUAGGGUGCGAGCGUUGUCCGGAAUUAUUGGGCGUAAAGAGCUUGUAGGUGGUUUGUCGCGUUCUGCUGUGAAAAUCCGAGGCUCAACCUCGGACUUGCAGUGGGGUACGGGCAGACUAGAGUGUGGUAGGGGAGACUGGAAUUCCUGGUGUAGCGGUGGAAUGCGCAGAUAUCAGGAGGGAACACCCGGUGGCGAAGGCGGGUCUCUGGGCCGUAACU
rnacentral:rRNA from 1 species